GACGAACCGAGCGAACGUUGUUCGGAAUCACUGGGCUUAAAGGGCGCGUAGGCGGGUGCUCAAGUCUGUGGUGGAAAUCCUCCGGCUCAACCGGAGAACUGCCAUGGAUACUGGGUGCCUCGAGGGUGGUAGGGGUAUGCGGAACUAUCGGUGGAGCGGUGAAAUGCGUUGAUAUCGAUAGGAACUCCGGUGGCGAAGGCGGCUCGCUGGAUCUCUUCUGACGCUGAGGCGCGAAAGCUAGGGGAGCAAACGGG
rnacentral:rRNA from 1 species